CCUACGGGAGGCAGCAGUGAGGAAUAUUGGUCAAUGGACGAGAGUCUGAACCAGCCAAGUAGCGUGAAGGAUGACUGCACUAUGGGUUGUAAACUUCUUUUAUAUGGGAAUAAAAUGUUCCACGUGUGGGAUUUUGUAUGUACCAUAUGAAUAAGGAUCGGAUAACUCCGUGCCAGCAGCCGCGGUAAUACGGAGGAUCCGAGCGUUAUCCGGAUUGAUUGGGUUUAAGGGGAGCGUAGGUGGAUUGUUAAGUCAGUUGUGAAAGUUUGCGGCUCAACCGUAAAAUUGCAGUUGAAACUGGCAGUCUUGAGUACAGUAGAGGUGGGCGGAAUUCGUGGUGUAGCGGUGAAAUGCUUAGAUAUCACGAAGAACUCCGAUUGCGAAGGCAGCUCACUGGACUGCAACUGACACUGAGGCUCGAAAGUGUGGGUAUCAAACAGGAUUAGAUACCCGGGUAGUC
rnacentral:rRNA from 1 species